rnacentral:rRNA from 1 species
GACGAACGCUGGCGGCGUGCUUAACACAUGCAAGUCGAACGGAAAGGCCCUGCUUUUGUGGGGUGCUCGAGUGGCGAACGGGUGAGUAACACGUGAGUAACCUGCCCUUGACUUUGGGAUAACUUCAGGAAACUGGGGCUAAUACCGGAUAGGAGCUCCUGCUGCAUGGUGGGGGUUGGAACGUUUCGUCGGUUGGGGAUGGACUCGCGGCUUAUCAGCUUGUUGGUGGGGUAGUGGCUUACCAAGGCUUUGACGGGUAGCCGGCCUGAGAGGGUGACCGGCGACAAUAGGACUGAGAGACGGACCAGACUCCAACGGGAGGCAGCAGGGGGAAAUAUGGCACAAUGGGCGGAAGCCUGAUGCAGAAACGCCGCGUGCGGGAUGACGGCCUUCGGGGUGUAAACCGCUUUCGCCUGUGACGAAGCGUGAGUGACGGUAAUGGGUAAAGAAGCACCGGCUAACUACGUG